CCUACGGGUGACUGCAGUGGGGAAUAUUGCGCAAUGGGCGAAAGCCUGACGCAGCGACGCCGCGUGAGGGAUGAAGGUCUUCGGAUCGUAAACCUCUGUCAGCAGGGAAGAACGGUCACUGUGCUAAUCAGCAGUGAAUUGACGGUACCUGCAAAGGAAGCACCGGCUAACUCCGUGCCAGCAGCCGCGGUAAUACGGAGGGUGCGAGCGUUCCUCGGACUUACUGGGCGUAAAGCGCUCGUAGGCGGUAUGGCAAGUCAAGGGUGAAAUCCCCGCGCGCAGCGUGGGAACUGCCGGUGAAACUGGCAAAGGGGAGUGUGUGAGAGGAUAGGGGAAGGGCAGGUGUAGGAGUGA
rnacentral:rRNA from 1 species